rnacentral:rRNA from 1 species
GAUUUUAGCAUGGAAUAAUGGAAUAGGACGCGCGGUUCUAUUUUGUUGGUUUAUAGGACCGCCGUAAUGAUUAAUAGGGACAGUCGGGGGCAUCAGUAUUCAAAUGUCAGAGGUGAAAUUCUUGGAUCAUUUGAGGACUAACUACUGCGAAAGCAUUUGCCAAGGAUGUUUUCAUUAAUCAGUGAACGAAAGUUAGGGGAUCGAAGACGAUCAGAUACCGUCGUAGUCUUAACCGUAAACUAUGCCGACUAGGGAUCGGGCGAUGUUCUUUUUCUGACUCGCUCGGCACCUUACGAGAAAUCAAAGUUUUUGGGUUCUGGGGGGAGUAUGGUCGCAAGGCUAAAACUUAAAGAAAUUGACGGAAGGGCACCACCAGGCGUGGAGCCUGCGGCUUAAUUUGACUCAACACGGGGAAACUCACCAGGUCCAGAUGAAAUAAGGAUUGACAGAUUGAGAGCUCUUUCUUGAUUUUUCAGGUGGUGGUGCAUGGCCGUUCUUAGUUGGUGGAGUGAUUUGUCUGCUUAAUUGCGAUAACGAACGAGACCUUAACCUGCUAAAUAGCCAGGCUAGCUUUGGCUGGUCGCCGGCUUCUUAGAGGGACUAUCGGCUCAAGCCGAUGGAAGUUUGAGGCAAUAACAGGUCUGUGAUGCCCUUAGAUGUUCUGGACCGCACGCGCGCUACACUGACAGAGCCAACGAGUUAUUCACCUUGGCCGGAAGGUCUGGGUAAUCUUGUUAAACUCUGUCGUGCUGGGGAUAGAGCAUUGCAAU